UACGUAGGGGGCGAGCGUUGUCCGGAUUUAUUGGGCGUAAAGCGUGCGUAGGCGGCUGCGCAAGUCGGUUGUGAAACCCCGGGGCUCAACCCCGGAACUGCAUCCGAUACUGGAUGGCUUGAAUCCGGGAGAGGGAUGCAGAAUUCCAGGUGUAGCGGUGAAAUGCGUAGAUAUGUGGAGGAACACCGAUGGCGAAGGCAGCCCCCUGGGUUAACACUGACGCUCAUGCACGAAAGCGUGGGGAGCAAACAGG
rnacentral:rRNA from 1 species